rnacentral:rRNA from 1 species
AUUGAACGCUGGCGGCAGGCCUAACACAUGCAAGUCGAGCGGAUGAAGGGAGCUUGCUCCUGGAUUCAGCGGCGGACGGGUGAGUAAUGCCUAGGAAUCUGCCUGGUAGUGGGGGAUAACGUCCGGAAACGGGCGCUAAUACCGCAUACGUCCUGAGGGUGAAAGUGGGGGAUCUUCGGACCUCACGCUCUCAGAUGAGCCUAGGUCGGAUUAGCUAGUUGGUGGGGUAAAGGCCUACCAAGGCGACGAUCCGUAACUGGUCUGAGAGGAUGAUCAGUCACACUGGAACUGAGACACGGUCCAGACUCCUACGGGAGGCAGCAGUGGGGAAUAUUGGACAAUGGGCGAAAGCCUGAUCCAGCCAUGCCGCGUGUGUGAAGAAGGUCUUCGGAUUGUAAAGCACUUUAAGUUGGGAGGAAGGGCAGUAAGUUAAUACCUUGCUGUUUUGACGUUACCAACAGAAUAAGCACCGGCUAACUUCGUG